CAGUUUAUUUUCCACAAAUGGGAUUCUCACUAGAAAAACUGUCCUGAAUUUUUUCACACAACAUUUUCGGAGACCUUCCAUAUCCAGUACACACAGCCACAAUUCCACUGCAUAUUUUUAUUAUUGCACUUUUCACUAUUAAAAACAAAGCCGCAAGUAACAUUCUUAUACAGUUAUACAAAGAUAUCUGUAACAAAUUUCUGAACAACUGCUAUGUCAAAGGAUACAGGUCUUUAAAUACACACAUCCUUGUUUCUUCUCUAUAGUUAAUUUUCAUCAGUUGAUAUGAUGGAAAAUCUCUUUCAUCCACUGUAACCCCCUGGACUCAAUGGUUUCACCUAAAGCAAAUAUGAGAGCAGGUGGGAAAUUCCUAUUCUAAUCCCUUUACUGGAGUUUUAUAUUGAUUUAUCUAAUUGAGGAGAUCAUUUUUCAAAUAUAUGAUUUUUAUUUCAAAGUGUAGUUAUUUUCCUUUCUAGGAAAUGAUGGCAGCUCUAUGUUUCUCUAAAAAAGCUUCCAGCGAAGAAAGAUUAUUAUAUGUUGUAAACAUUUCAAUAUUAUUUAGCAAUUUCAGGUUUAUAGAGAUGAGAUGACUUUCAGAAGUUUUAUGAAGUCAGAGAUGUAAGC
rnacentral:lncRNA from 1 species